AUUGAACGCUGGCGGCAGGCUUAACACAUGCAAGUCGAGCGGGGUGAUGGUGCUUGACCUAUCACUUAGCGGCGGACGGGUGAGUAAUGCUUAGGAAUCUGCCUAUUCGUGGGGACAACAUCUAGAAAGGGAUGCUAAUACCGCAUACGUCCUACGGGAGAAAGAAGGGGAUCACUUGUGCCUUUGCGCUAAUAGAUGAGCCGAAGUCGGAUUAGCUAGUUGGGUGGGUAAAGGCCUACCAAGGCGACGAUCUGUAGCGGGUCUGAGAGGAUGAUCCGCCACACUGGGACAGAGACACGGCCCAGACUCCUACGGGAGGGAGCAGUGGGGAAAAUUGGACAAUUGGGGGAACCCUGAUCCAGCCAUGCCGCGUGUGUGAAGAAGGCCUUAUGGUUGUAAAGCACUUUAAGCGGGGAGGAGGCUCUGUUGGUUAAUACCCAAGAUGAGUGGACGUUACUCGCAGAAUAAGCACCGGCUAACUCUGUGCCAGCCGCCGCCGUAACAC
rnacentral:rRNA from 1 species